rnacentral:rRNA from 1 species
AUUGAACGCUGGCGGCAUGCCUUACACAUGCAAGUCGAACGGCAGCACGGGAGCUUGCUCCUGGUGGCGAGUGGCGAACGGGUGAGUAAUGCAUCGGAACGUGCCCUGAAGUGGGGGAUAACGUAGCGAAAGUUACGCUAAUACCGCAUAUUCUGUGAGCAGGAAAGCAGGGGAUCUUCGGACCUUGCGCUUUUGGAGCGGCCGAUGUCGGAUUAGCUAGUUGGUGGGGUAAAGGCCCACCAAGGCGACGAUCCGUAGCGGGUCUGAGAGGAUGAUCCGCCACACUGGAACUGAGACACGGUCCAGACUCCUACGGGAGGCAGCAGUGGGGAAUUUUGGACAAUGGGCGCAAGCCUGAUCCAGCCAUGCCGCGUGAGUGAAGAAGGCCUCGGUUGUAAG